UUGGACCUGAUAUCAGGCUAGAU
rnacentral:rRNA from 1 species